CGCGUAGGCGGCGUAUUAAGUCAGAUGUGAAAGCCCACGGCUUAACUGUGGAAGUGCAUCUGAAACUGGUAUGCUUGAGUAUCGGAGAGGAAAGUGGAAUUCCCGGUGUAGAGGUGAAAUUCGUAGAGAUCGGGAGGAAUACCGGUGGCGAAGGCGACUUUCUGGACGAAUACUGACGCUGAGGCGCGAAAGCGUGGGGAGCAAACA
rnacentral:rRNA from 1 species